CGCCAGACUUGAUUGCAUGGAGGGAAGAACGCAGUGUUCAAGAUGCCGUCUACCUGCUGUGUUAUAAACUGCAAUAGUCGUUCUCACGAUAGAAGUGGCAUAAAGCUUAAGAACGGAAAAUCCUUUUAUCGGUUUCCAGCGUGGAAAAAUAAUAGUACAAGCCACGUUUCAGAGGUGACAAACAGGCGACGAAUGGCAUGGAUAGCAGCAGUAAGGAGGCCCAAGAUUACCUUCGAUAACUUCCACCACACAUUAUGGUGUGUUCAAAGUAUUUUCACAAAGGCAAACCUGCCUAUGAAAUGUUGGAGUGUGAUCCUGACUGAGCCCCUUCUCUGUACCUCGGCCAUACUGAGGUCAAAGCUACGAACACAGACCGGUUCAAGCGGUUUAGGAGAAGAGCGACGAGGUCACAACAACAGCAUCGCCAGGCACUGACCACACUGGUCCUGAGGCUGAGUUGGAUAAUGCAGCACCUUUAUACCCAGACAACACUACACCUGCAACUGAGAUGGAAGGUCCCGUGAAUCCACCCCCAUCGCUAUAUUAAAGAAAGUGUUGCCCUUGUGGGUGCUACACUGAAAAUACCUGCCUUCACCAGGGGCCACAGACCAGGAAGUUAGCUCAUGUCAGGAUCCACGUGGAGCGAGUGAUCGGGUGUAUGCGCUCUAAGUUUAACAUAUUAAAUGACACAAUACGUCUGGGAUUUGGGGUGCCUUGAGAGGCGGAGGAUAAGACUUAGCUGGAUAUAAUUUUGGUUUGGGAGUGCUGUGCUUUGACCAAUAUGUGUCCGAGUAUUGUUGUGAAGCCGUCGUGUUAGAAUUAUACACCAUGCUCACAUCUAAUAUGUAAAUAUGUUUUUUUUUUUUUUUUUCAAAAGAUUUUGUAAUGUCACUUCUCACA